GGCGUCCGGCAGCGUCCGGCAUCGGGGGAUGGGGUCGCCCAAUAGCCGCGGGGACCCGCAAGGUCCAAUAGGAGAGGCGAGAAGAGAGAUCUCCAGUUCCAGCGGCGUGUUCGGGGAAGAGGCGAGAAUGGGUAGCGGGAGGUGAUUUCCCCUCGGCUUCCACCUGUAACAGCAUUCGGGGCUCCUGCUGCAGAGGCAAAGUGGAGAUUGCAUCUCCCCAGUCUUGCAGCGCCGAGGAGGCGAUCUCAGGAGUUUGGGCAUGUCUGGGAGGACUUCGACGAUGUGUGGGUUUAUGCUUAAAGUUCAGGCUCCUUGUGCUCCUCAUCCAUUGAUCUACAUACCCCUGUUCUUGACUCCAGACUGAAGGCUUCCUUUGUCAGUGAUUGAUGGCCACCCUCUCACAGGAAGAAUGACUAACUCCAACCUGCACUUCAGUCUACCAUGAACCCUAAUGUUCAGACACGAACCAGGCUUCUUGUGAGGAUCCUACAGCAGAGAUCAUGUGUCCUUUCCCUGAGGGACAUACCUCUUCACUGUGAAUGUGGAAAUCCAUGUGUUUU